rnacentral:tRNA from 1 species
CCCUGGUGGGUCAGAUGGUAAAGCUUCUGCCUGCAAUGCAGGAGACCUGGGUUCGAUUCCUGGGUCAGGAA